UUUUGUUUUGUUUGUACAUGUGCAGAUUCCUGAACAUUUGAAAGGUCUUAUUUAUUUUGGCAGAGUGAGUUUUUAGCCCUUUAUAGAUCAACUUUUAGAAAAACAAAAUGUUAAAUUUGUCAUGUGCAUGUUCCCCUCUAUGUCCUCUACUGAAUGUUGGAACAGACUAGUUUAAGAAUGCAAAAAUUGUUAAGUUGUUUUGAGCUAGCGUCUGUGGUUAAAGUCACAAGUAGUAAUUUCCCUUUGUACCGUGGUGUUGCUUUAGAUUUCAGUGGUGGUUUUCAGGAAUCCUAAGUAGGUCAAGAGCAUAUUCAGUUCAUAGCAACAUCAUGCAGCACCAGAAGAAGUGUGCUGAGAGAGAGACCUGAACACCAAGCAAAGAUGCGUCAAGUUGGAGCUAUCCUUUGUUUCCAAGGGCAAGUAGAACCUCCUUCUAGCUUCUGAAACUACAAACUACCUUAGAUAGGAUCUGUGAAGCGCCUUCCUGAAAAGCUCUGAUUGUCUAGAGGUGGGGAGGGCAUGUUCCCCCUAAGGUCCUAGCACCAGCCCACCUCCCACUGUUAUUGGGUCCAGUAUUGACUGCAUGUUCUGCAGUGGACAGAAGGACUCUCUCUCCAGAACAAAGACAAGCAACUCAUGGUAGGCUGACUCCCACCGGAGGGGAGGGAUGUCACUCCAAAAGAAAGACUUGGACCGUGACCACUUGCUUGGCUUUUGGCCAGUCAGCUGGCAGAGGGAUGAUGGCUGGAAAAAGCUAUUGGGGCUGUGUGGAGUUUCACUUUGUGCUACAAGAGAAAAAGCAAUGGGCAGAGAACAGUAUGGACGGGAGCCACAGCACACAACUGGGAAGCUGAGACGAACCCAGCAACAAGGACUCGUCACUCUGAGCUCACAGCAGAGACUAUGGCAAAGGAGCUGGAAAGUACCUUUGUCCAGGACUGAGACACUGGAGGUUGGAUUCCCAGGUCAUGGAGCAUUCAGCUGUAUAUUUAGACAGUAGGUACGGUGUACUAUGGUAUGUAUAACUGCCAUUAGGGCUCUCCUCCUGGAAUCAGCCCUCAUACUGACUGAGGUCUUGCCCUUGCUUUGUUGUUGAUGGCAGUAUCCAUUCGAGGGGUUAACU